GGAAGGGCUGGGUGGCUCGGUCUUGCAGAGGGGUCCGAGCCCCCUCUUCUUUCUUCUUGAAAUUUUGGAUUGUAUUUGGAUACGAUGAGGGAGCCAUCAUGGUUAAAAUUGGUCGAGAAGAACCAGUUGCCAGCAUGGACAAUGGGGGGAAAAUAAUUUGGGCGAAGUAUAAUGAAGUUCAAAUUGUGAAUAUCAAAAGUGUUGGGAAUACAGAGGUCGCAGAUGGAGAACGAUUGCCUUUGGUCGUCAAGGAAUUGGGAACAUGUGAUCUUUAUCCUCAACUUCCUAGUUUAUCCUGAGUUAGAAACUAGAAACUCCAUUCAGUUGCCAUCUUAUUGCCCAAUGCAGAGAUCGAAAUUCUGUGGUGGCACAAAAUUCAAAUAAUUAGAAGGUUCGAUAACAUGCCAUGAUUAUCAAGAAAUCAAAAUUCAAGAAAGUACACAUGUAUUAGGGGUCGGGGCUAUUCCUCGUUCAAUACUCGUCAUUCUAAAAGAUGAUCUUGUUGAUGUUGUUAAAGCAGGAGAUGACGUUAUAGUCACUGGGGUCUUAACUGCAAGGUUGUCGCCUAACUUAAAAGAUGUUUGCUGCGACCUUGAUCCUGUGUUGAUUGCUAAUCAUGUGAAGUAAAUGUAACAGCUCUGUUUGAAAGAAGAAACAUUUUUCAUUGUUGAGAUGGUUGUUGUUCCAUUGGAGUCAUACAUGGUACUAAAGAGAGGAGAACAAAUGAGCUGAAAUCAGAUAUUACUAUUCCUCAUGAUGCCAUUAUGAAAUUCAAUCAAUUUUGGAACGAGUUUAAGGAUACCCCUUUGAAAGGAGAAAUGCAAUAUUACAAGGUGUUUGUCCACAAAUUUUUGGACUCUUCACUGUAAAGCUUGCAGGUACAUAGCUUUCUCAUAUAAAUUCAUGAUUUGUUUAUCUUAAGUUAAAGAUUUUGAAUGACUGUUAAACAUUCACUACCAGCACCUUCUCUUUUUUCAACUUAGUUGCAUUAACACUUAUUGGAGGUGUGCAACAUGUUGAUGCUUCUGGAACCAAGGUACGAGGAGAGUCUCAUUUACUUUUGGUUGGAGACCCAGGUACCGGGAAAUCUCAGUUCUUGAAAUUUGCUGCAAAGUUAAGUAACAGAUCUGUUGUCACUACUGGCUUAGGAAGCACUAGUGCUGGACUCACUGUCACUGCAGUCAAGGAUGGAGGUUGGGGAUCGAAUUAGCAAGGAGCAUUGCAAAGGUAAUUUGCAAGAGUUGUUAAACCCAGACAAAAAACAAGAUUUUAGUAAGAGAACAACAUCAAAUACAAAUUCAUUGGAGAUGGAUAAAAGUUGGAUCCAUCUUAACAGAGUAACGGUGGAAUAUGAGCAAAAAGCUAGAGAGUUUGCACUUGCUUGACUGGGCAGAUGCAAUUGUUGCUGAAGGUCAUUGGGAUUCUAGUGAUCCAAAUAUAACUGUACAUGGAAAGCCUCUUGGACCAAACUUUAUGCGAGUAUGGGUUGAUGUUGCUAUUGUACCAGAGUCUUACUUAUUUCUUCCUAAUCAUGCGAUGCUUACAAUACAAGAAGCAGUUGGUUCCACAGUUGCAUGGCCUUCUAAAAAAGUUAUUCCAAGAGAUAUGACAAGCAAAGUAUAAAAGGAUACUUAAGAC